rnacentral:piRNA from 3 species
GUGUAAUGGUUAGCACUCUGGACUCUG